GGUUGUAGCUCAGUGGUAGAAUGCUUGCCUCUCAUGCGUGAGGCACUGGGUUUGAUUCUCAGCACCA
rnacentral:tRNA from 1 species